GCCAAAAUCCCAAUGUUGGUAAGGUGACAGCUCUUCCUAAAUUGGUCUCUAGACACAGGGCGCCAGCCAUCUGAAUCUCAGGAGCUUCUUUCCUUAGUAGAACUUGCCACAGUGGUUACAAAAUUCAUGGUGAUUGUGGCAACACAAAGGACCCACAGGGAAACAAAGAACUCUGAGAAGAAGAAAAAAAUUGGAGGAGCCCCUGUCCGUGGGCUCUAGACUCGUUACAAAGCUUCUGCAACUAGAUGGUGUGGAGUUGACAUCAGGAGAGAAAAAUAAGUCUGAAGACAGAACACAGAGUGUGGAAAUCGACCUCUACUUGCGAACAAGUGAUUUCAAGUAAUGCUUCAAGGUGUCCAGUGGAGUCCAGAAGGACAGUCUUCUCAAUGCUGGUUGGUAGCCAGCGACAAUUGGCUACUCACCUGCCAAAAAAUAAAAUCCGUUCAUGGCUUGCAUGGUACACAGAAAUUAAAAUGCAUCAGAUCUAGGUGUAUGCACGAAAUUAGAAACCUCUAGAAGAAACUACAGAGGAGGUCUUUGCGAACGUGGUCGGUCAAAGACUUCUAGACGCAGCCCCAGAAGUGUGAUCUGGAAAAGAACAAAUUGAUCAAUUAGAUGCCGCCAAAAUUAAAAUCUGCGGCUUCAGCUCUUCAGAAGACACGGUGGAGAGAAGGAAAAGACAAGCACACAGAUGGGGGGGAAUAUUUGCAAGCCACCGAUCUGAGAGAGGGCUCACGGCCAGAAUGUAAAAAUAACUCCCAAAGCUCAAAUGAGGAGGAAAAAACAUCCCAAUUUAAAAAUGGGCAAAAACCGAACAGUCACUUCCCUGAAACGUACAGAUGGAAAAUGAGGCAGCGAGUCCCGGGAAAUCAGGGCCACAGCUCGCCCUCGUCAGAGAGAGCCGUAAUUACAAGGACGGGCUCUGGCGGGCUCUGGCGAGCAGGAGCUUAUGGAGAGAAGUGGGAGGCUGUGACCAAGAGGCUCACGGGCACAGGCUCGAGGUGGCAUCCCCAGGAGCAGCCCAGACCCAGACACGCCCAGAGGCCCCCCGACAGGUGGCGGGACACGCGCAAGAACCUGCACGAAUCUCGAGAUGACGGGCUGGAUUCUCCUCCCCUCCCACGCCGUGCUCAGGGCCCGUCCACGCCAGAGUGAAGACCAUCGUCUAAGUCUCCCAGGCUUGGUUCUCAAGACUCACUGAUAUUCCCCCUCUGUCGACAAGCCUGACUUUCGAGCUGAAUGUCUUAUUGAAAAACCUUACUUUGGACAUCACAAGAUGAAGGCUAACUGCUUUGUAAUGGUUACUCUGGUGUGUCAGUUUAUUGGCAUUUGGGGUUGAGAUUAACAUUUGAGUCAGUGGACUUGGAGGAAAGCAGGUUGCCCUCCACCCAUGGGGCAGGUGGGCCUCAUCCAACCAGUCGAAGGCCUAGAGACAACCAAAGAGUGAGGGGAUAUUCUCCAGCAGACGGCCCUCUGGUUUUACCUGCGCCAUCAGGCCUCCCGGGUCAUCAGCCUGCACUGCAGAGUUGGGAUUCACCAGCCUCCGUAACUUCAUAUAUAAAUAAAUACAUAUUUGUGCAUUUGUCCA
rnacentral:lncRNA from 12 species